rnacentral:rRNA from 1 species
UACGAAGGGGGCUAGCGUUGCUCGGAAUCACGUGGCGUAAAGCGCACGUAGGCGGAUCUUUAAGUCAGGGGUGAAAUCCUGGAGCUCAACUCCAGAACUGCCUUUGAUACUGAGGAUCUUGAGUUCGGGAGAGGUGAGUGGAACUGCGAGUGUAGAGGUGAAAUUCGUAGAUAUUCGCAAGAACACCAGUGGCGAAGGCGGCUCAACUGGCCCGAUACUGACGCUGACGGC